UUUCAAUAGAGACUCUUUGACAAGUGACUGAGCAAGCAACAGGGUUAGGUGUGGGCUACUGUGUGCCUGAUUAAGCUUACCCUGAGAGAGAAUUUUUGGCCACAAACUGAGCAUGAAAAAGGUUUCUCACCAGUGUGGAUUCUUGUGUGGAUUUUUAAAUGUCCCCUCUGACUGAAUUUUUGGCCACAAACUGAGCAUGAAAAAGGUUUCUCACCAGUGUGGAUUCUUGUGUGCCCUUUUAAUUGUCCCCUCUGACUGAAUUUUUGGCCACAAACUGAGCAUGAAAAAGAUUUCUCACCAGUGUGGAUUCUUGUGUGGCUUUUUAAAUGUCCCCUCUGACUGAAUUUUUGGCCACAAACUGAGCAUGAAAAAGGUUUCUCGCCAGUGUGGAUUCUUGUGUGCCCUUUGAAAUGUGCCAUCUGACUGAAUUUUUGGCCACAAACUGAGCAUGAAAAAGGUUUCUCGCCAGUGUGGAUUUUUGUGUGCCCAUUUAAAUGUGCACUCUGACGGAAUUUUUGGCCACAAAUCGAGCAUGAAAAAGGUUUCUCACCAGUGUGGAUUCUU